rnacentral:rRNA from 1 species
GAUAGAGGAUGCUAGCGUUAUCCGGAAUGAUUGGGCGUAAAGCGUCUGUAGGUGGCUUUUCAAGUCCGCCGUCAAAUCCCAGGGCUCAACCCUGGACAGGCGGUGGAAACUACCAAGCUGGAGUAUGGUAGGGGCAGAAGGAAUUUCCGGUGGAGCGGUGAAAUGCAUUGAGAUCAGAAAGAACACCAAUGGCGAAAGCACUCUGUUGGGCCAACACUGACACUGAGAGAUGAAAGCUAGGGGAGCAAAUGGG